rnacentral:rRNA from 1 species
UGCCUGCACUUCGGGAUAAGCCUGGGAAACUGGGUCUAAUACCGGAUAGGAGCCAUUUUUAGUGUGAUGGUUGGAAAGUUUUUCGGUGUAGGAUGAGCUCGCGGCCUAUCAGCUUGUUGGUGGGGUAAUGGCCUACCAAGGCGGCGACGGGUAGCCGGCCUGAGAGGGUGGACGGCCACAUUGGGACUGAGAUACGGCCCAG